rnacentral:rRNA from 1 species
UGAGUAACCUGCCCUUAACUCUGGGAUAAGCCUGGGAAACUGGGUCUAAUACCGGAUAUGACUCCUCAUCGCAUGGGUGGGGGGUGGAAAGCUUUAUUGUGGUUUUGGAUGGACUCGCGGCCUAUCAGCUUGUUGGUGAGGUAAUGGCUCACCAAGGCGACGACGGGUAGCCGGCUGAGAGGGUGACCGGCCACACGUGGGACUGAGACACGGCCCAGACCUCCGUACGGGAGCAG